rnacentral:rRNA from 1 species
AAACACGUAGGCGGCUGCUUAACAUGCAGUCGUACAGGUAACCGUAACUUCUGGUGGCGAAUGGCGAACGGGUGAGUAAUGUAUCGGAACGUGCCCAGUAUCGGGGGAUAACUACGCGAAAGCGUAGCUAAUACCGCAUACGCCCUACGGGGGAAAGCAGGGGAUCGCAAGACCUUGCACUAUUGGAGCGGCCGAUAUCGGAUUAGCUAGUUGGUGGGGUAACGGCUCACCAAGGCGACGAUCCGUAGCUGGUUUGAGAGGACGACCAGCCACACUGGGACUGAGACACGGCCCAGACUCCUACGGGAGGCAGCAGUGGGGAAUUUUGGACAAUGGGGGAAACCCUGAUCCUGCCAUCCCGCGUGUGCGAUGAAGGCCUUCGGGUUGUAAAGCACUUUUGGCAGGAAAGAAACGUCAUGGGUUAAUACCCCGUGAAACUGACGGUACCUGCAGAAUAAGCACCGGCUAACUACGUGCCAGCAGCCGCGGUAAUACGUAGGGUGCAAGCGUUAAUCGUAAUUACUGGGCGUAAAGCGUGCGCAGGCGGACCGGAAAGAAAGAUGUGAAAUCCCAGAGCUUAACUUUGGAACUGCA